UGCCAUGUCCAUGGGGCUCAAGCAGAGUGUAUGACCAUCCUUGGCACUUCACAGCCAAGGAAUGCACAUGGUGGAGUGUUAAUUCUUCAUUGUCAAAGGGAACCAAGUCGCUUCUACUGCUCUGGAACACAACAACAGCAUCUAGGCAGCUAUUUUCAAGUCCAUGCUUUAUGGAGCAGUUGCAGCAACUGGGGACCUCCUCUCCCCUGGACCAGUUUAUGUUCCUUCUUCCCCUGAUGGGCUGCAUUCACAUUGCAAGACAUGAUGCCUGCAUGGAAGCUGGUUCUGCUCUUCCACUUCAAUUCUCUCCUGGGUCUGGGAGACAGUGGUGCAGGGGAGAGUGAAGAAGCGCUUGCCUUGCCUGCCUUUUCCUCCUCCUCUUCCUCCAGGAGGAAUUAUACGAUCAAAGCAGCACAUCAUCAAGGGUGGGUGGUACAGUGAGCCCCAGAGGAUAAAACUGCCUCUUGGACCAGCCUUUUUUCCUAAUGAGCUGAAAGUGCACUGCUGCUGACUGGACGACUGAUGAGCAAAUGCGUAAAUGCUGCCGGGUGCCAAUGUCCCUUGCUCUAGGCAGGACUCUGCUGGAGCAACAGCUCCAAUUACCAGCUUACCUGAUCGUACAUGUCGCCAGCUUCCCAAAGUGCAAAGACCUUUUGUUCAUCCAGCAACGCAGUCGUCUGCGGGGGAAACUAAAAUAAAUAAAUAAAUCAAA